UGCAAUGAAGUGAAAAUUGAAAAGCCA
rnacentral:piRNA from 1 species